rnacentral:rRNA from 1 species
GAUGAACGCUGGCGGCGUGCCUAAUACAUGCAAGUCGAGCGAACAGACGAGGAGCUUGCUCCUCUGACGUUAGCGGCGGACGGGUGAGUAACACGUGGAUAACCUACCUAUAAGACUGGGAUAACUUCGGGAAACCGGAGCUAAUACCGGAUAAUAUAUUGAACCGCAUGGUUCAAUAGUGAAAGACGGUUUUGCUGUCACUUAUAGAUGGAUCCGCGCCGCAUUAGCUAGUUGGUAAGGUAACGGCUUACCAAGGCAACGAUGCGUAGCCGACCUGAGAGGGUGAUCGGCCACACUGGAGCUGGGACACGGUCCAGGCUCCUACGGGAGGCAGCAGUAGGGAAUCUUCCGCAAUGGGCGAAAGCCUGACGGAGCAACGCCGCGUGAGUGAUGAAGGUCUUCGGAUCGUAAAACUCUGUUAUUAGGGAAGAACAAAUGUGUAAGUAACUAUGCACGUCUUGACGGUACCUAAUCAGAAAGCCACGGCUAACUACGUG